UAAAGUAGUCGGAUAAUCGCGCAGAAAUGUGAGGAAAGUCCGUGCAUUCAAGGACAGGUUGCCAGAGAAAGUCUGGACGGUGUGAACCGGUGGAAAGUGCCACAGAAAUGAAGACUACCGAUGGGAAGUUAGCUUUCACAGGUGAUGGUGCAACGGUGAGUUAAGAGCUUCACCAGCGAUAUCGAGAGGUAUCGGCUAGGUAAACCCCAACCGAAUGCAAGAUUGAAUCGAAGGUUAUGAGGUCGUCCGCCCACUUCGG
rnacentral:RNase_P_RNA from 1 species